CUACGGGUUGCUGCAGUGGGGAAUAUUGCACAAUGGGGGAAACCCUGAUGCAGCGACGCCGCGUGAACGAUGAAGUAUUUCGGUAUGUAAAGUUCUAUCAGCAGGGAAGAUAAUGACGGUACCUGACUAAGAAGCACCGGCUAAAUACGUGCCAGCAGCCGCGGUAAUACGUAUGGUGCAAGCGUUAUCCGGAUUUACUGGGUGUAAAGGGUGCGUAGGUGGUAUGGCAAGUCAGAAGUGAAAGCACGGGGCUCAACCCCGUAACUGCUUUUGAAACUGUCAGACUAGAGUGCAGGAGAGGAAAGCGGAAUUCCUAGUGUAGCGGUGAAAUGCGUAGAUAUUAGGAGGAACACCAGUGGCGAAGGCGGCUUUCUGGACUGUAACUGACACUGAGGCACGAAAGCGUGGGGAGCAAACAGGAUUAGAUACCCCUGUAGUC
rnacentral:rRNA from 1 species